CACUCUUAACUUAAAGAGCAGCUGAUGCCUAAUGGAAAAUUUUGAGAAAGUUGUCGUCAUGAACCAGUUUAAUGGCCGGAGCAUUUCCUGCAAUGCUUUUUUUCUGGAGAAAGAAUUUAAGGAUGACAUGUGGGGGAAGGAAAGAAGAGAUGAAUGCCAAAGGAUACGCCUGCCUUGUGCCAACCCAUUAGAGCCAGAGAAGGCCGCUGAGAAUAUUUAAUGAAGCGGACAAAACACUAUAUGAAAAGAAAACAUCUUCAUUCAAAGGAUGGAUGACUAAAAGAAUAAAUAUUUCUAAAUGCU